GUCGGAUUGUUGGUCUGUUGAAGGUGGAGGUGAAGACGCAGGUGGUGGUGGGGGAUCCCAAGGAGAAGAUCUGCGAGGUGGCGGCCGAACUCAAGGCCGAUCUGCUCGUCAUGGGGUGCCGUGCUUUUGGCCCUGUCAAGAGGAUGUUCCUGGGUAGUGUGAGCAACUACUGCAUCAACAGCGUCGGCUGCCCCGUCGUGGUGAUCAAGGGCACCUGACCCAUCCUCGACCCAGCAGACAUUUCUUAUUGUGUUCCACACCAUGAUUCUUGAGGUUGCUACUGUGUUGUACGUACUCCUGUGCAAAUUCACUGCACACUUCCAAGACCGCCGUAUGGCUUGUGUUAUCAUUCAUGUUGUUUGUUAGUGCUUGGUUGGAUGAGGCCGAAGAACUGCUCUGUACAUUCCGUGCAUGGAGAUUGCCAAAUUGGUUCUGGGGUCCGUGGAAAUAAGAAUGCACAGCGUGCACGCUGUUUUGUAAAUUGAUCAUUGUUGUAAGUAUAUCAGCUAAAACAUGGUGCCAUGGGGCACAUGGUUUUGUACAAAACAUUGUACGCGGGGCUUUGUCCGAUCUGAUCUGGUUUGGUUUGGCCACUGCACAUGCAUAUGCUUGUCCCCAUGGCUAUCUUGUUCCUCCCCAGUCCCCACCCACCAGGGCACCGGUCUCCUUCGUUGCUUCCACUCGUUCUCCCCGUACCUUCCUCUUAUCCGCGCCACCUACGUUCCCGCUCGAGAUGGGGGCAGAGCUGCUGCUGCUCGGCGGGAAGGUGUCCGCCGGCGGCGCAGCAGGAUCUGGCGCCGUCGCUGCGUCCUCGGCGGGAGCCGGACGGUGCGUGGCCGGCGGGCGGCGACUCGCGCCGGUGCAGCCGGCGGCGCUGCAAUGGCGGCAUAGUAGCCGCACCAGCACAGAUCAGAAGCCACCACUGCAACGCUGCGCCGCCGCCGAACUGUGGAGAGGAGACGCGGAGGACGGGAAGAUGGGAUUCGAGAAGGAGAUCCUGAAAGCCGGCACCGGCCCCAAGCCCGUCAAGGGCCAGAAGGUCACCGUCCACUGCACCGGCUACGGGAAGGAUGGUGAUCUGUCUAAGAAGUUUUGGAGUACCAAGGACCCUGGGCAGCAGCCAUUCUCUUUCAACAUUGGUCUGGGUUCAGUGAUCAAAGGAUGGGAUGAGGGAGUUAUGGGCAUGCAAUUGGGUGAAGUCGCCCGUCUUACGUGCACCCCAGACUACGCUUACGGUGAAGGUGGCUUUCCAGCCUGGGGAAUUCAACCAAACUCCGUGCUGAUAUUCGAGAUCGAAGUUCUUAGCGCCAAGUGAUGCGCAGUGCGAUUCAUGAUGGAUCUAUAGAACACUGCAGCAUCGCCAUGCCUCUCGAUUGCAAAAAUAAUUGUAACGCCACAUCAUGUUAAGUGCCACAUUGUGGUGAUGUUCCAAGUGCAUCGAGUGAAACUUUUGGAACCCUAUUAUCCUUUUGUGAUCCUGGUACUAAGUUUCUGGGUGCCCUUGUCGCAAAAUUUACG
rnacentral:rRNA from 1 species